CUGGAUGUGCUCGUUAGUCAUAAUAUCCUCCACAAAGCAAGGACUAUGACUAGAGACACAUUCAGCU
rnacentral:pre_miRNA from 1 species